CCUACGGGGGGCAGCAGUGAGGAAUAUUGGUCAAUGGGCGUAAGCCUGAACCAGCCAAGUCGCGUGAGGGAUGAAGGUUCUAUGGAUCGUAAACCUCUUUUAUAAGGGAAUAAAGUGUGGGACGUGUCCUGUUUUGUAUGUACCUUAUGAAUAAGGAACGGCUAACUACGUGCCAGCAGCCGCGGUAAUACGGAGGAUCCGAUCGUUAUCCGGAUUUAUUGGGUUUAAAGGGUGCGUAGGCGGCCUUUUAAGUCAGCGGUGAAAGUCUGUGGCUCAACCAUAAAAUUGCCGUUGAAACUGGUAGGCUUGAGUAUGUUUGAGGCAGGCGGAAUGCGUGGUGUAGCGGUGAAAUGCUUAGAUAUCACGCAGAACCCCGAUUGCGAAGGCAGCCUGCCAAGCCAUGACUGACGCUGAUGCACGAAAGCGUGGGGAUCAAACAGGAUUAGAUACCCGGGUAGUC
rnacentral:rRNA from 1 species